rnacentral:lncRNA from 1 species
CGACUUUGAAAAUUGUUGAAAAUCAGUUAUAUGGACAUUUUUCUAUACACCUCCAGAUUUUGAGCUGUUUUUUGAUUUGUGAGACUACCAUCAUGUUUGUGUCCACAUGUGUUAUUGAACAUACAUUUACUAUGAAUACAGAGUGUAUGGAUAAAGCUAUGUGCUAUCAUUUUCAAAUUUUACUAUCCACGGCGGUUACAGAGUUUUUUAAAUAGAGGGGGUCUGUAUAACAUAAAUGACCGCCGUGAAUCGAUUAGUAUUAACUGUCACUGAGAAUUAAUAGUAAGAAGCAAAUACAGUUUAUUUACGGUACCACGAUUUCCC